rnacentral:tRNA from 5 species
GCGCCCAUAGCUCAGCUGGAUAGAGCAGUGGACUUCUAAUCCAAAGGUCGUAGGUUCGAAUCCUACUGGGCGCGCCA